UAGCAAAUAGACUACCAUGUAGUAAAGUAUCAACAAGAAAGUAUGAGUGGCCCAAACCCUGCCUCUUCUAAAGAAAGCUUUGGCACUUACCUGGAUCGUGGGAAAUAAUUUCUAAGCCCCUGGAACAUUUUGCCUGUUAAGAAUGUGUGUCUUUGCCAGACACCUUUGGCCCAUCAGAGAGUCUGUAGUAGCAAUGUAAUUUAUGGUGGGAAUUUUGAGCAGCACGACAUCAGCUUGACCUCUGGAGGGGAUGGAGAAAAGGUCAUCCACCUGGGUAAUCUGCCAUGUCUACGUUGUUAAACCCCCAAUAAAAACUCUGGACACGCAGACUCUGGUGAGACUCUCUGGUUGACAAUACUUAGCACGUGUUGUCACACAUCAUUGGUGGGAGAACUAAGUACUGUCUACAUGACUCAACUGGGAAAGGGCAGCUGAAAACUUAUGCCUGGACUCUCCUGGCCUCUGACCAAUAGAAAUAGCUUAUGUGCUUUUUCCAUUGCUGAUUUUAAUCUCUGUCCUUUCGCUGUAAUUAACUGUGAGCAUAACAGUCUUUUAAAGUUCAGUGAGUCCUUUUACUGAAUCAUUAAACCAAAGUGUGAUCUUGAGGACCAAACAAAACUACAAAGUCUUAAUGGCAUGACACAAUAAAGGUUUACUUGCUGUUUAUGUGAAGUCUUCUGCAGGACUGGGUGCCCUAAUGGCCAACCGUUCUCUAAGCAGUUAGAGAACCAGGCUCUGCCAUCUCAGAGUCCACUGUUUCUAGUCACACAGACGGCAGAAUGAGAGCAAGGAAGAACAUGCAGGAUGUUUUAGAGGCCAGGCUUGUAAGUUUAAGUGUCACUUCUGUUCAGAUUCUAUUGGCCAGAACCCAGUCAUAUGGUGCCAGCCUAAAACAAGGAUGGUUGAAGAAGAGGGGUCUUCUUGUGUCACCAAGAAGAGGAAAUAAAAAUGCUUGGCCCAGUCUUCCAUCACUUAUGGAAACAAUUGCCUGGAUUAAAGGCCCUCUACUUAAAAUACCAAGUGGCCGAGAGCAGGAGAGCAGUGGUUCACGCCUAUAAUCCCAGCACUUCAGGAGGUCUAGGCGAGAGGAUCCCCUGAACUCAGUAGUUCAAGAUCAGCUUCAGCAACAUAGUGAGACCUCGUCUCUACUAAAAAUUAAAGAAAAAACAAGCUGUGCAAGGUGGCAAGCUCCUUUAGUCCCAGCUGCUCAAGAGGCUGAGGUGAAGAUUGCUUGAGCCCAGGAGUUUGCAGUGAGUAAUGAUGGCAGCCAGCUUAGGUGACAGAGCAAGACCCUGUCUUCGAAUAAAUAAAAUAUCCAAGUGGUUUCCA
rnacentral:lncRNA from 13 species